ensembl:lncRNA
UGGCUAUUUACAUGGAUUUUUUUUUCUUUAUUCACCUGCUUUGUAUCAAAUAUUGUGGUGACACAAUAUUUCCUGGUUCCACUGUUUGGUGUGGGACAGUCCCUGAUUUCCAAAUCACCCAUCACAACAUGUGCUUUAAUUAUAUUGUGCUUUUAAUCUGCGGGGUAGAUUGGGAGCGCUUCAGAGUACAGUGUAUACGGUAUGAUUUUUUUCCUGCUCCGCACUUCAUGCUGCCUAACAGUUAUCAGCAUCCGUGUUACAGUAUGAGGAGCUGGCAGGUAUAAAAUAAGGAGACAGAAAGGUUGGGUACAGCCAUAAAGUACCAAGGAAGCAGCUAAAGACCAUGAUGAAGAAAUCGGGGAUGCUUGUGCUCUGUGCCGGUGUGACCUUCGCAUUACUGGGCGGCACUGAGACGACGUCACCUAAUACAUCACCAAUGACUACAUCACCAAUGACUACAUCACCAAUGACUACAUCACCAAUGACGGCAAUGACAUACACUAGCACAUCCGAUAGAACCCGGCCUUCCAAUCCCAGCACCACUGGCGUCUCCACAGGAACCAAUCCCACCAGCUCCCAGAUGACCACUACCACGGGCACCUCCACAACCAGGACCACACCCACAAUGGCCGCGAGUGUUGGCAGCACAAAUCCAAUGACCACCAAGAACGGACAGAGCCACAUCUUCACCUCUGUCGGCCUGUUGCUCGGUUCUUUGAUCCUUCAAGCGCUUUGGCAUUGAUUUUGAAUGUCAAAUUUCAGUUGUUCGUGUGAAACUAAAAUCUGGUUCAUGAUUUCAAGAAAUGAUUAACAAGUCAAUCUGACAGAGUCGGCCUACUUAUUGACAUGUGAAGGAAAAAAGCAGCAGCCUAGAAGUGGUAGCAGUAGUAUCAAAUUCAUACUGGUACAUCCAAGAGCCAAUAAACAGAAUGAAAGAUGUUACCAUAAAUAUGUUAUGGUUCUCAUAUUUUUAAAAUAUUUUGUAACGCGUGCUGUGUGACGGAUACCUGCUGCUGUGUUUUUCUUUUUUGAACAAAAGAGAUUAAUGUGAUAUCUAACAGGUAUCUGUUGGCAGGACACACUACAGGCAGCAGUCAGUCAAGGUAUUGUAUUAUAUUGCAUUGUGUGAGUAAAUUAUGUUUGAGGAAGGAUAAAGCUUUUUGUUGAGCUAAAGCAGAUUUGAAAUGAAUACUGAGCCAACGCCCAAAUAUUGGACUCCGUCUACUCUUUAACAUGACAACCCUCCUAGCAUAUCCCUUGAAAUCACAAAUGAAUUUCAUUUUGAGAUUAUUAAAAAAAACCACUACUUUAAUCAGGUAGAACAAGUGUCAUAUCAGCUCGUGUACAGUCAUGUGAUUAAAUUUCAUUCAUCACUAUCACUGUGUUUUGUUUACUGGCCCAUUAAUGAUCCAUGAAAAAAGAACAGGAUAAAAGACUGACUUCUAUGAGAGUCAGCAGGUGCACUGACAAAGACGGUAUCACACAAGAUGGUAUCAUUGAAGCAUGAUUCUUCUUUUUGUGCAACUGCACUCAGUAUGUUAUCACAAGGUAAAAUAGCUAAAUAGACAAAAUCAAUUCAUUAGACCUCAGAUAACAAAGCGAAAAAAAUGUAGAGCAUAAUUAAAAAGCAAAAAAGCAAUAAAAGUUAUAAAAGAUCCAAGAAUUGCCAAAUCAAAUUCGAAGACAAUAUUAUACACAUGAGCAUGACAUUAUCUCUAUCAGAGCUGGUUCAAACUAUCAAACUAACAAGAGAUGGUUAACUUUCCUUAUUGGUUGUCAUUUUUCUUCAGGGUUUUUCCUGGAAUUAAAAUGACCUCUAUGCCACAACAAAUUCAAGGGGGAAAAUAAAUGAACAGACCAUUUCCUUGUUAUUUGUGAGUAUGUCAAUUAUUCACCUGGAGGAACGAGACUCAUUUAUCUGAAUUCAGUUCAUGGAGUUCCAUCAGCACAGGGAUAUUUGAAUUGAUGUCACUUGGGUUUAUUAAGAUUAAAGAUUAAUCCAGGCACACACACAAAUGCACGAAAACAGACGGACACACACACACACACACACACACACACACACGUCAUGCAAACAUCCUCAAACAAGCUCUUGGAUGCAUGGCCAUUUUAUACUGUGCGUCAUAAAUUCACCCCUCCUAGAGCGUGAUACGUCUGUAUAUAAGCGAUGACAGGACAGAAAAAGGUUCACAGCCUCCAAGAACUCGUCCGACUGCCAUCUGUGCAAGAACAUUUUCAUUAACAUCUCUGGUGCAUCUCUG